GCCUUCGUGGUGUAGAGGUCAAAACGCUUGACGCGUUUUUGAGAGGUCCGUGGUUCAAGUCCCGGCGAGGGCA
rnacentral:tRNA from 1 species